GAACCAGAACCCAGCUGUGUGUCCUUUAAGAGCAACAGGUCAAAGGAUGAAAUCAUUAACUUUAAAUCUCCUGGAUCUCCACCAUCAGAGAGAGUGGACCAGCAGAGCUCAGAGGUUCCCAGUGGUCCGUCUGCCCAGCAGCA